UCGUACCAUCAAUAACUAUUGAAAUUUAAAAUAUAAAUAUAAAUUUUAUUUGAUUUAAUGUGACGUGCAUUGCACGUGUACUAUGACUAGUUACAUAAAAUAACUUAGUAAAUAUUUGGCCAAUUUGCAUAAAAAAUUCACUAAUUUUGGGCUUUUGCAAAAGUGGGCCACCUUUUUCGAUUUUGCAGAUUCAAUACAAAUUUUCAGCAAAUUGACCAAAAUACCUUGAAAGCUUUUUCUCUCUCAUCUUUUUUUUUCUCUCGUUCUUUUUUUCUUACUCUUCCCAGAGAGCGACGGAGGCAGAGGCGGAGGCGGAGGCGGCCUGCUUCGGUUUUGUCCGGCGCAUCCUUACCCUCGCCCGCGCACCUCCCGCUUUCCUCGCCUCCAACCCCGUCGAGGCCUGCGACUUUUUUUUUUCCCUUCUCCGACCCUCCUCCACUGCUUCCAACGACGACGCCUCUCUCGCCCUUCUUGCCCUUUCCCUCUCCCUCCUCCUUUGCCUCCUCCGCCGUCUCCGACUACGACGCCUCUCCAUCGACAUCGGCGUCACGGAGGUCGUUGCGGCGUUGCAGCCUCAGAGCAGGGGGUCUUUAGCAGCAUCGUCGUCGGCGUCGUGGCCGUUGGCGGAGAGGCGCGACAAAAAAAAAAUUGUAGAAAAAGAAAGAAGAAGAAAGAAGAAAAAAAUAAAGAUAAAAAAUUAUAUAAGAAGGAAGAAGAAGAUAAAAUUGCAUUAUUAAAAUAAAAUUAUACUGUUUUAAAACAAGUUUAUACUGUUUUAAUGAAAAUUGCACUAUUUGAUAUAAAACUUACACUUUUUUGGAAUGGAUUUUAUACUCUUUACGCUAACGUUGCACUAUUUAGGAAAAUUUUGCACCAUUUCUUUUUCUUUUCUUUUUUUUUU
rnacentral:lncRNA from 1 species